AAUCAACGCUGGCGGCGUGCCUAACACAUGCAAGUCGCGCGCGAAAGGGGGGCAACUCCCAAGUAGAGCGGCGAACGGGUGAGUAACACGUGGGUAAUCUACCUUCGAGUGGGGAACAACACCGGGAAACUGGUGCUAAUUCCGCAUAACAUCGUCGGGGCUUCGGUUCUGACGCUCAAAGCUGGGGAUCGCAAGACCUAGCGCUUGAAGAUGAGCCCGCGUCCGAUUAGCAGUUGGCGGGGUAAUGGCCCACCAAGGCUUCGAUCGGUAGCCGGCCUGAGAGGGCGGACGGCCACACUGGAACUGAGACACGGUCCAGACUCCUACGGGAGGCAGCAGUGGGAAUUUUCGCAAUGGGGGCAACCCUGACGAAGCAA
rnacentral:rRNA from 1 species